GCUGGUGUGGCGGAAUGGCAGACGCAGCAGACUCAAAAUCUGCCGAGGGCAACCUUGUGUGGGUUCAAGUCCCACCACCAGCA
rnacentral:tRNA from 2 species